rnacentral:rRNA from 1 species
UACGGGGGGAGCAAGCGUUGUUCGGAUUUACUGGGCGUAAAGGGCGCGUAGGCGGCGCAACAAGUCACUUGUGAAAUCUCCGGGCUUAACCCGGAGCGGCCAAGUGAUACUGUCGUGCUAGAGUGCGGAAGGGGCUACUGGAAUUCCUGGUGUAGCGGUGAAAUGCGCAGAUAUCAGGAGGAACACCGAUGGCGAAGGCAGGUCUCUGGGCAUUAACUGACGCUGAGGAGCGAAAGCAUGGGGAGCGAACAGG